ACUAAAAAGAAAAACGAAAAAAAUGUGAAAAUCGUUUUUCCAUGCCCCAUUUUUUCGAAACUUUUUUUCUCAUGCGGUUUUGCAAAACCCGUUUUCGUCAAAAACGGAGCAAUU
rnacentral:ribozyme from 1 species